rnacentral:lncRNA from 1 species
UCAACAAUGUUAAGGAUCAAGAAAUUUGCUUAGAAUUUGCAUCACUAAUUCACAUGUCUGACAUGUUGCCUUUUCUGAUGCUAAACCUUUUUCUUUUAGGAUUAUAACAAUGAUACUGAAGACACCUCUAGUGUACUCCAGGGUCCUAACACUAGAGGCAAGUCAAAAGUUAAUCAACCUAAAAUGCAAGAUCUAGAAGAUUACCAGUAUGACUCAGACAGUUGCUUCGAAGUGGAUGCCACGGCCUCCAGCUUCCCCCAACCUCCAAACAGCCUCCUACCCAUCGAUGCUGUCCCAUGCUCAAAAAGUUCUCCAAACUCCAGGAUCCGCUCACCAUCCAGAUGUGGGACAGCCUCUAGCAUGGUCGCAGCCACCAAUUCCCUCCCACCGUCUGUUUACCCUGCACCAAUCAGCCACACUGUUGGCUUGGGGUCAGCUUCCUGCAAUGUUGCAGCCACCAAUUCCCUCCCACCCUCCAGUAGUGCUCCAGCCACCAGUCACUAUGUGACCACUGGUGGUGGGACAUCCAGCAGUGGUCACUAUGUGACCACUGGUGGUGGGACAUCCAGCAGUGUUGCAGUCUCCACCUGUCCCGUCAGAUAUGGCACUGAUGAACCCAAUAGUUCUGACUAUGCAACAUAUUUAUCAUUGAUGACCGAUUUCUCUGACCUAUCAUCGGAUGAUGAAGAAUUAAACCUUGCAAUUAUGGCUAGCAUUGAAACUCAACAGGCCCAAGCUUCUCAGUGUCAAGAAGUCUCUGUGACAGAGAUACUCCUGGAGCUGGCCAAAAAGAUCACACCACACAGUCGCUGUAAAUUCAACAUCAACCGCUCAGCUGUCCUAGAUGGUGCCUUCAGAGGUUUCAAGAGGACAACAUACAACCCCAAUGCUACCAUGAAUGUCAAGUUUUCAGAUGAUCUCGGGCGAAAUGAAGAAUCAGUUGAUUUGGGUGGGCCAAGGCGGGAAUUUCUACGCCUGCUGAUGGAGGCCUUGGUGAUGAGCCCCAUGUUCGAGGGGUCAGGUGAAAGUCAAAAUUUGGCUCUUGACAUGGCAGGUAAAUUAAAAAGACAUAAAAGUGCCCUGAAAAUAAUUAUUCUCAUGUCUUAG